CACAGUAUCGUACUCACGCGUGCGCAGGACUACCAAUGAGUCCACAUUUCAUGGAGUCGGAUAUUCAUGCUACACCUGUCGUGCCACGUAUACGUAUACGUUCGUAUAGAGGAGCAUGCGCUGCAGCGCAUGCAACGGUAUUCCAUGCAACAUGCAAAGCUGAAGGCAUGCUUGCCCCACAUUUUCUCAGCACUACUAGCUUCGUUUGAUGGUCGUUUGAUGCAUUGAUUAUGCUACAAUUUUCUCUUUCAAUGGACUCCCGAUGACACCCACAUCACAUGAACCAGCUCCAACCAUGCUCCAAGCAUGCUCCAGUGCAUGCUUCAACCAGUUCCCAAAGCAAGAAUCUCGACUCAAGACGAAGACGUGACGUGCUUUUUCUCUUUACCCAUUCAAAACACAUUUUUCUUCUAGCCAUAAUUUUAUUAUUUAGAAGUCAUGAAAAUGAAAUAGUGCAAAAAUAAUCACUCUUUUCUGCUGUUUUAUGUCCAUCCUUUUGUAAAGUUAUAUCCUUGGCUUAGUUGUAUCCAAGAAUAAUUAUGGAAUGAUUACCCGUCUCGCUUGAAAGUCUUUCAUGGAAUGUUUUUGCCUAUGCUAAACAAGCCUGGACCGACGUCCCUUACGAAAAUCGCUCCGAAAAUUUGCUACAAUUAUAUCCCCUGAGUUUUGUCAAAGUACUACCCUGUAUUGAAUGCAAAUACAUUAUUACUAAAAAAUUUGUG